AGAGUUUGAUCCUGGCUCAGGACGAACGCUGGCGGCGCGCCUAAUGCAUGCAAGUCGAACGAAGACCAGCCUUCGGGUGAAGUCUUAGUGGCAGACGGCUGAGUAACGCGUGAGUGACCUGCCCUGGAGAGGGGGAUAACAUCGGGAAACCGAUGCUAAUACCGCGUACGCUCAUCAGUCCAAAGGCUGAUGAGGAAACGAAUUUCGCUCUAGGAGGGGCUCGCGUCCUAUCAGGUAGUUGGUGGGGUAAUGGCCUACCAAGCCGAAGACGGGUACCUGGUGUGAGAGCACGACCAGGCAGAGGGGGACUGAGACACGGCCCCCACUCCUACGGGAGGCAGCAGCAGGGAAUCUUCCACAAUGGGCGAAAGCCUGAUGGAGCGACGCCGCGUGGGGGAUGAAGGCUUUCGGGUCGUAAACCCCUUUUCUCAGGGAAGAGUAAGGACGGUACCUGAGGAAUAAGCAUCGGCUAACUACGUGCCAGCAGCCGCGGUAAUACGUAGGAUGCAAGCGUUGUCCGGAAUCACUGGGCGUAAAGGGUCCGUAGGCGGUUUGUUAAGUCUCUUGUGAAAGCUCAGGGCUCAACCCUGAGAUGUCGAGGGAUACUGGCAGACUUGAGACUGUCAGAGGCAAGUGGAAUUCCCGGUGUAGUGGUGAAAUGCGUAGAUAUCGGGAGGAACACCAGUGGCGAAAGCGGCUUGCUGGGACAGUUCUGACGCUGAAGGACGAAAGCGU
rnacentral:rRNA from 1 species